GAUGAACGCUAGCGGCAGGCCUAACACAUGCAAGUCGAGGGGUAGAACACUUCGGUGUUUGAGACCGGCGCACGGGUGCGUAACGCGUAUGCAAUCUGCCUUAUACUAAGGGAUAGCCCAGAGAAAUUUGGAUUAAUACCUUAUAGUAUAUAGAUGUGGCAUCACAUUUAUAUUAAAGAUUUAUUGGUAUAAGAUGAGCAUGCGUCCCAUUAGCUAGUUGGUAUGGUAACGGCAUACCAAGGCUAUGAUGGGUAGGGGUCCUGAGAGGGAGAUCCCCCACACUGGUACUGAGACACGGACCAGACUCCUACGGGAGGCAGCAGUGAGGAAUAUUGGUCAAUGGGCGCAAGCCUGAACCAGCCAUGCCGCGUGCAGGAUGACGGUCCUAUGGAUUGUAAACUGCUUUUGUACGGGAAGAAACAACUCUACGUGUAGAGUCU
rnacentral:rRNA from 1 species